CCAGGAAUAUUGCGCAAUGGGCGAAAGCCUGACGCAGCGACGCCGCGUGGAGGAUGAAGGCCUUCGGGUUGUAAACUUCUUUUGAUGGGGAGAAAUCAAUGAUCGUACCUGUCGAAUAAGCACCUGCAAACUACGUGCCAGCAGCCGCGGUAAAACGUAGGGUGCAAGCGUUAUCCGGAUUUACUGGGCGUAAAGAGUUUCGUAGGCGGUUUUUGCAAGUUACUGGUCAAAGACCUUGGCUCAACCAAGGAAAGGCAAGUAAUACUGCAGGACUGGUGUUGGGUCGGGGGUGCUGGAAUUCCCGGUGGAGGGGUGAAAUCCGUUGAGAUCGGGAAGAACACCAAGGGCGAAGGCAGGCACCUAGACCCCAACAGACGCUGAUGAACGAAAGCUAGGGGAG
rnacentral:rRNA from 1 species